AAUAAGUAGUUAUUUAAGUCUGUUUUUUCCUUUAUAAACAAUACUGAUGUUUUACUAGCAAAUGGUGAACUGUCUUUUUUUCUGUUGACUUUCAGCUGGGGCCAAGGAAUUUGCAUGAAUGCUACUAUUUCUGGCAUGCCUAGAGACUUUUCUGGUACUGUCAAGAACAAAGUGCUUUAAAGAAAUGCACAGCCAAAGAUGAUUGAAGAUCUGUGCACACAACGUGUGAUAAUUUUUUCAGCAAUUAAUUUAUUAAUGUAAGUCACAAUAAACAGAGGAAGCCUUUUAGAAUAUACUACUGGAAAUCCCAUAGCUAUUUCAAUUUCAUGAACACUUUGCUACGUGAACAGAAUUUUCAUCAAAAUGCAUACAAUUUUGUGCUGGUAAUUCAGUCUGAAAAGCAAGCUCCUGGGUUUUUAACUCUAUUCAUACAUGCCCUUGAAGUAUUUUUGGCAGCAAUACCAGGAAGACAGUCACUUCACCAGGAUCUGAUUCUCAGAUUCUCUGCUGCAUGGCAGAGAAUGGGGGUGUUUAUGGUGCCUUAAUGGCAGCAUUGGAGCAGAUGCUGUCACAUUCCCAGCUAAGGGAACAAGUAAUUCCUGUGGCUCACAUGGUCCCUCUGAUUAAGUGCUUCUUGCUGCUUUCAGGAAGCCAUUUGCUGCCCUGCAGUGUUCUCAAAUUCGCACACACUUAUGUGCAUCUCCAUUUAAUUUGUCUCUCCCCCACUCAGCCUGCUGUGCACCAUAAUAUGGAAGAGCAGACUUAACCUCACAGUGAUCUUUUAUGGCCCAGUAUUUCAUAGACAGAGGCCAAGACUGUUGCUUACUCUGAUAAUUUUAAGACAGAUAUGUUAUCUAGUUUUUCAGCUUUGGAUUGAUCUUGAUUAGGGACAAAAACACCACAUGUUGUGAUUAGAGUAGUCUUUAACCUCUUUUUGCACAAACAGGGUUAAAUAUUGAAGGAACAUACUUUUCAUUUUCUAUCAUGGAAGUGCAAGUGGUAACAGUGAUGACUGUGUAACUCAAGAGGUGAAAAAUGACCAAUCAGUGAUGAGCAAACACAGGCAGAAAACAUAAAAGCAGACACAUAAUUCACAGGCCAGACAGCAAGAGAUAAGACACUGCAUACGAAUAAGAAUAUGUGGGUGUGAGAGCAAGCAAGUGCUGAAGAAGAGGAUCUGACUGCUUCACUGCCAGUGCAAUUACACAGAAAGCUCUUCUGCCUGCAUUUCGUCAGUAAAUACUACCAAGUGGCAUGAAACUGGUGAAAUAACCCCAAAGGGGUGUAUGAAAAUGGCAGGCUUGUUUCCAGGCAAAAUAAAUUACAAUGAGUUAAAGAUACCAAUAUACAACAUCUGCCUUACAAAUAACUAGCUUUGUUCCUGUUUCUUUCAAAGAAUGUUUAAUUUUGGCUCAGAUUUAGAUGUUUUUUUUUCUGGUUUCAGCAAACCAUUUGAACAAGACUGUGCAUUCUGGAUAUCAAUCACCUAGGCUGUAGGUGAGCAGGCAUGUUUUGCACCUGCAGAAGGCUGUUUGAGAAUCCAGGUCAGAAUAUGUGAGUGAAGUCCAUAAAAACACCAAAAUAUCAACACGCUAAAAAAGCCUUGUGGAGGUCACUGGAGAGGAACAGCAUCUCAGUCAGCUCUGGCAACACUCCUGUGGCCAGUGCCAUGGUCUCUGCUACUCCAUCUGCAAAGCCUCCGAUGCUGCUUCUUCAGCUGUGCACAUCUCAUCAGGGAGCUCCAGGGUGUCUCUGCAUGCCGUCAGCAGGGCUGCUGUGCCACUGUGCUGAGAGUGUCCCUCUGCUGAAUCACAGCUGCCCUUGCGAAAAUUGUUCCGCAAGGAGCCAAUCCUAAGGGAAGAAUAUUUGAGGUUUUUGGUUGAUUUGGGCUUCUUUUAAACCCAAGUCAAAUGGUCCCAACUGUGAACUCUGGUCAGAGUGAAAUUCCAGAAAGGAGCAUUUGGAAUGGUUGCCUUUACAAAGCCAUUAUGACAGGGGGAUCAUAGAACCAUUAGGUUAAGAAAGAACCUUAAGAUCUCCGAAUCCAACCAUUAAUCCAGCACUGCCAAGUCCAACACUAAAUGUCCCUAAGUGCCACGUCUACACAUCUUUUUAAAUAUCUCUGGGGUAGUUAUGUCAUUGCAUGGCCAAUUGAAGCAUCACCUGAAAUAUUACUUCAGUACUUGUUAACUCUAUUAAUCAUUGAUGUGUACUAUAAAGAAUAUGGGUUUCUUUGAUUAUGAUUGUCAUAGUGUCUGAAAUCUCAUAUUUAUUUCUAAUUAUGCGUUUGAUAAAGUGGUGGGGUUUUUCCUCUGCUUUGGACUUCUGACAUGUUUUAAGAAGAAAUGCAUCACCAAGGUUUACCAUGCUGGAGCCUUGAAGGACCCAAUACUAUCUGUGGGAUGCACAAUUAUGGUAUUACCAAAAGAGAUACCAUUUAUGUUUUCCACAUACUAUUAAAAAUCUUUUCAACAAAACAUAUUGUCAUUGGGCAAGCAAGUGGCCUUAGCUUUUAUGACAGCUCUCCUUCUAGAAUGCCAUUAUAAAUUAAAGAUAUUGUGGUACAAGUAUUUAACCUAAAAUCAACAAGAGGUUGCAAGAAAAAGGUUGCAAGCCCACACACACAAAAAAAAAAAUCUCCAUAUACUGAUGACUUUCAUUAUCAGGAAAAGCUGACUUUAGUGUGAAUUCUUUAUUAAUACUUCUAGUCAUCUUGGAGCAUUUCACAGUGUUUCACCCAUUUUAUUUGGAACCCCUAAUCCUGAUCUGUCAAUAUAUAUGAAUUUCAGUCCAAGCCAUCUUCACCAAAAGGCCAUUUUAUAAUUUUACUCUAUUAAAUAUAAUUAUUAGAAAAUGAUACACUCCCUAUAGCAUACUUCCAUGUAAACAAAGCCCUAAUAAAGUAGAGAGAGGAAGAACAAAGGCAGCUGGGGAGGUUCAGAAUGCAGAGAUGAUCUGUUUUCUGGUGCCUAAGGCCUGACUGCUCUCUUGUAUAACUGACUGUAUGAACUCCUGAGCUAAAUGUAGGGCCUGACUACACUUAAUGAACCUUAGAGUGAAAUCAAAAAGACAAAUAUGGUAUGUCUGAAUAUAUGAGGAAUUUUUCUUCUUUGAAGACCUUUGGGGACUCUUGCGGUCAUUGGAGUUCUCUUCUUCAUCUUGAUAAAAGCCCUAUUGUAUCCAGCAGUGUUUGGCUCUGAAACUGUGUUCCAACCUAAUAUUGAAACCACAAAAGUAUGAGUAAUCACCCUGUUUUAUUCUUUACAUUGACCAGUGUCUCUACUAUGGCAUCACUGAGGGAAAAGGAAACAGUACUCUAAAGACACUAACAUAGGUUAGUUUAACUUAAUCACUGGCUGCAGCCUACAGUACUCGUCAGAAAAAUAUAUUAAUAUGGGACUUUACUGUUCUCAGAGUAGCCUUUGUCAGGAGUUUGAAAUGUCUGAAACAAGAUAGUUUUAAUCCUUAAAAGUGUACUUCAGUGUUCCGAUCUUCAUUUUUGAGAGAUUUUCUGAAAAAAAAAUCAGCAUCCUCUUCUGAAGAAGAGCUGAGAAACCAGUCACAUUUAACCAUAUUUCUUCUCUUGUAAACUACCCCUGGCUGUAGUUGGCACUUAUACUCUGUUGGAUUUUGCAGCUUUGGCUCUGAAACAGUGAUCAGUGUCUAUGGACCUAUUUUAUAAAAUUAAUUUCAGCAAGGAAAAGAACAGCAUAUUUGGAUUGAAAAAGACCUAUUACACUCUUCCCUCUUCUACCUCCUAUAAACACAAGUUCAUUUCUACAGUACAUUGUCUGCUUGCUCCGUAAAUCUUUGUUUUAAAAUCUAUGGCUUUACAUCACUGUGAAAACUGCAUCAGAGCAACACUUUUUCCUCACACAUUUUCCUGAGUCAAAAAUUCUUCCUAAUCAGCUAUGCACAUUGAUAUACUGUUCUACUCUACUAUCUUCUGUUUCUGUUCUUUGCAAGGAGCAAGAUGUUUUUACAAAACUUUUCCUGUUAGUACCUGUGUGGUCCCCAAAGACAGUGAAAAUAUGCUCAAUUUUUAUCUACUUUUCAUAUAUUUUUUCUAAGAAACAGCACAACUAUGCUUUCAUAUUCACAAAAAUGUGUGUAAUAUGACACAAAUAUUAUGACCACAACUUUUUAAGCAACUCACACGUACAUAUUCCAGUUUCUUCUGAAUGCAGAAAUAUUUGCUUCUACACUUGCCAAACUACACUUUCUUUGUGAAAUGUGGCACUGAUGCUUUCAUAGAGUAAUUUAUCCAGCUUUCUUUGAUCAUUUUCACAUGUUCCUACAUAUAUACUUGCCUCAAAUGCUGUCCCUGAGGUUCAUCAUGUUGGCAAUAAAAUAAAAUUUUACUGUUUCUGGAGACUUAGAUCAGGAUUUUUAGUAAUUUGCUGUGAUCUUCCCCCUGUGGGCAUAUAGAAGCGCUGUGAAAAUGGGUCUACAAAUGGUCUUUUAAAUCAAAUGGAUUGAUGGUAAAUCAAUCUGAAAUUAUAGAUAGGUGUAAGUAUGCUAAUAUAAGAACAACAAUGAAAAUUGUGACAAAUUUUGAGUAUCUCAGAACAGUAAUUUUUGUUAGACAUAUCUUUAUUUUAAAAUAAAAAACAGUCUUUCAAUCUUAAGGGA